UACGUAGGGUCCGAGCGUUGUCCGGAAUUAUUGGGCGUAAAGAGCUCGUAGGCGGCCUGUUGCGUCUGUCGUGAAAGCCCGCGGCUUAACCGCGGGUCUGCGGUGGAUACGGGCAGGCUGGAGUCCGACAGGGGGAGACUGGAAUUCCUGGUGUAGCGGUGGAAUGCGCAGAUAUCAGGAGGAAUACCGGUGGCGAAGGCGGUUCUCUGGGCAUGUCCUGACGCUGAGGAGCGAAAGUGUGGGGAGCGAACAGG
rnacentral:rRNA from 1 species